rnacentral:rRNA from 1 species
GAUGAACGCUGGCGGCGUGCCUAAUACAUGCAAGUCGAGCGAACAGACGAGGAGCUUGCUCCUCUGACAUUAGCGGCGGACGGGUGAGUAACACGUGGAUAACCUACCUAUAAGACUGGGAUAACUUCGGGAAACCGGAGCUAAUACCGGAUAAUAUAUUGAACCGCAUGGUUCAAUAGUGAAAGACGGUUUUGCUGUCACUUAUAGAUGGAUCCGCGCCGCGUUAGCUAGUUGGUAAGGUAACGGCUUACCAAGGCAACGAUGCGUAGCCGACCUGAGAGGGUGAUCGGCCACACUGGAACUGAGACACGGUCCAGACUCCUACGGGAGGCAGCAGUAGGGAAUCUUCCGCAAUGGGCGAAAGCCUGACGGAGCAACGCCGCGUGAGUGAUGAAGGUCUUCGGAUCGUAAAACUCUGUUAUUAGGGAAGUACAAAUGUGUAAGUAACUAUGCACGUCUUGACGGUACCUAAUCAGAAAGCCACGGCUAACUACGUG